UACGGGGGGUGCAAGCGUUGUUCGGAAUUAUUGGGCGUAAAGAGCGUGUAGGCGGCUUGAUAAGUCAGAUGUGAAAGCCCUGGGCUUAACCCAGGAAGUGCAUUUGAAACUGUCUCGCUAGAAUAAGGGAGGGGGAAGUGGAAUUCCUGGUGUAGAGGUGGAAUUCGUAGAUAUCAGGAGGAACACCGGUGGCGAAGGCGACUUCCUGGCCCUAUAUUGACGCUGAGACGCGAGAGCGUGGGUAGCAAACAGG
rnacentral:rRNA from 1 species